rnacentral:lncRNA from 1 species
AAGGCUCUCCACUGUUUUAUUUCUGUUUGUUUUGCAAAGCAAACACAGGCUAGCCUAACCCUGGCGUUAACUCCUAAAGCUCCCAGGCGUUUCUAGUCGCCUGAAAACAGCCCCUCUCCAAAAAAAAAGAGGUUUCUCUCAGGUUGGAAAUACGUCAUUUCUGUAAAAGCAGCCUCAGGACCCGACGCUGAAACUGUGAUUUUUAUUUUCUAGACUGUGAACUGUUACCUCAUAGACAAUAAUGGAUUUAUUCUGGUGUCUGAAGACUACACAAAGACUGGAGAUUUUUUUGGUGAGGUUGAGGGCGCUGUGAUGAACAAAUUGUUAACAAUGGGCUCCUUUAAAAGAAUUACCCUUUAUGAUUACCAAGCCAUGUGUAGAGCCAACAAGGAAAGCAGCGACGGCGCCCAUGGUCUGCUGGAUGUAAGUAUGGUGCAGUCAGCCAGGAAAUACCAGCGUGUGUCUUUGUCUCUCUGUGUGAGCAUAG